rnacentral:miRNA from 1 species
GCAACAACGUCGAAUUCCGGC